rnacentral:lncRNA from 1 species
UGGAGGCAGAAGGACCUUGCAGGUCACUUUAUAGAUGAGGACACCAGCCAAGGAUGGAGUUGUUUCCUGAAGUUCCCUGAUCUGUCUAAAGUCUGGACCUGACAAAGAAGAAAACAGUCACCUCCGGUUCCUUCCCUGAGUUUUUGUUAAUUGAAUUCAUGUCGCAGGAAGAAAGACUGAAGUCUUUCAACUCACCUGGACAGACUUUUGUCUCAAAUCAUUGUCUACUCUGCAGGCCCAAUAAACUUUGUCUCAGGCCACUGUGUGUUCUUUAAGACCACUGAAUUCCGCUAAAAAUCAUUUACUACCCCCACUUUCCCCUAAGAAGAAGGUAUGCAGCCAUUUCUACCCCACUGCCUGACGGGGAGAUCACUCUGUGGCCCUGCCCCGUGCGUGAUAACACAUUUGCAUGUCAUUCCUCCUGUUAACCUGUCUUUUGUCAGUUGAUCUUCAGUGAACCUUCAGAGGGCAAGGGGGAUGUUCUUCCUUGUCCCCUAUACUUGCGAUGCUGAAAAGUGGACCUACUGUAUUCUGUACAGCCUUAGUUUACAUAAUUGUUACCCUUUUGAUGAUCUCUUGUUUUCAGUUUCUAGCUAUUAUCAAAAAAAUACUUUAUUGCUAACCUCUUUUCUACAAAACUCAGCUUCUGAUGAUGUGCCCCCACCAACCAGAAAGGAGCUCUACUCCACCCUCAGCCUCCCAGGAGUUGACAGACAACUCCUUCCUUCCAGAUUGUUCAGGUCAAAAACGCAGGAGUCAGCCUUGAUUCCCAGUGAUUCACAUGGUGGAAAAUCAUGCGGGUUCUACUUUCGAAACACUUGCAGAAAGAUACGGAAAC